rnacentral:misc_RNA from 1 species
UUAUCAUUUAGAGGAAGGAGAAGUCGUAACAAGGUUUCCGUAGGUGAACCUGUGGAAGGAUCAUUGUCGAGGCCCGUCGAGCAGCAAGACCUGCGAACCGGUGACCCUGACGAGGCGCGCGUGGCUCGGGGGGGGCGCGGAGCCACCCGCUCUCCCGGGGGACCACGUGGCGAACCUCCCCCGGUGCGAUGGGCAACAAGAAACUGAGAUGAAAUGAGCGCGGCUCCCUCUUGGGACGCCGGCGCACGUUCGGAACUUACACGACUCUCGGCAAUGAAUAUCUUGGCUCUCGCAUCGAUGAAAAACGUAGCGAAAUGCGAUACUUGGUGUGAAUUGCAGAAUCCCAUGAACCAUCAAGUCUUUGAACACAAGUUGUGCCCAAGGCCACCUGGUAGAGGGCACUCCUGCUUGGGCGUCACGUACCGUGCUGCCCCACCCGGCACUUGCCCCAUCCGACAGCGGUGCCGUAGGGCGGAGACUGGCUGCCCAUUCGCCCCACCCGCACGGACUCAGCGGUAGGUGGUUUGAGAGGUGGCUGCCUCGUCGGAGCCAAGAUACCGCGCCCGUUGUCCUGCGCUUGGGGACAAGCAGUGCGAAGUGGCACCCAACUCGGCUGCCCCGCGUGGCCCUCGUGCAGCGACGCCAAGUUAGGUGGGGACACCCGCUGAGUUUAAGCAUAUCAAU